rnacentral:rRNA from 1 species
GUCUAUGGCCAUACCACCCUGAACGUGCCUGAUCUCAUCUGAUUUCUGAAGCUAAGCAGGUUUGGGCUGUUUACU